CUACGUGCCAGCAGCCGCGGUAAUACGGAAGGUCCAGGCGUUAUCCGGAUUUAUUGGGUUUAAAGGGAGCGUAGGCUGGAGAUUAAGUGUGUUGUGAAAUGUAGACGCUCAACGUCUGAAUUGCAGCGCAUACUGGUUUCCUUGAGUACGCACAACGUUGGCGGAAUUCGUCGUGUAGCGGUGAAAUGCUUAGAUAUGACGAAGAACUCCGAUUGCGAAGGCAGCUGACGGGAGCGCAACUGACGCUUAAGCUCGAAGGUGCGGGUAUCAAACAGGAUUAGAUACCCUGGUAGUCCGCACAGUAAACGAUGGAUGCCCGCUGUUGGUACCUGGUAUCAGCGGCUAAGCGAAAGCAUUAAGCAUCCCACCUGGGGAGUACGCCGGCAACGGUGAAACUCAAAGGAAUUGACGGGGGCCCGCACAAGCGGAGGAACAUGUGGUUUAAUUCGACGCAACGCGAAGAACCUUACCAGGUCUUGACAU
rnacentral:rRNA from 1 species